GGGGUCGUAGCGCAGUCCGGUUAGCGCGUCUCCCUGUCAAGGAGAAGGUCGCGGGUUCGAAUCCCGUCGGCCCCGCAA
rnacentral:tRNA from 1 species